GCCCUCCAAAAGGAAGAAAGAAAGAAAACGGGGCGUAGCAAGGAUUCCAGACUGGAUUCCAUGACGUCACCCGAAGUUGGAUGUCUGCAGUCGUAAACAAAGGCUCUUGUGACAUGGCCCCUGGCCAGGCUAGCCACUCAGCUCCUGUGGGGGAGGUGGUUGAAGAGAGCAGCCCCCAUGUUGGCCUCUACCCUGUAUUCAGCCUCUGGAUUUAGCAGGUGUUUCUUUCAGGUAUGUUGUCACGGUGAUAGGAAAAAGCAACUAAUACAGAAGGCAAAGGUGGCCACUCUGGAAAUACCAACAGCAUCCUGCAACUUGGAGAGAAGCAGUGCUGGGACCACCACCACAACCGUUGUUGCCUGACUGACCUUGAUCCCCCUGUCUCCACCUCUCAAGUACUGAGAUGACAGGGUUUCUCUGUAUAUCCCUGGCUGUCCUGGAGCGUAAUUCACUUUCUAGGCAUGAUUCAAGAAAUAAAGAAGUAAUGAAAUGAAAGAGAAGGGGAACUGGAGACUCAGGGGUCAGAAGUGAAGAACACUUGUGGCUCUCACAGAAGACCCACAUUUGAGUCUACUUACAUCCAUGCGUACACAUUAUUAGAAAUAAACAUAAAUCCAAAGAAAGCUAAAUCUUGAGUUGAAUAAACAGAAAAAAAGAGGCAGCUCAAACACAUUUCACUAGGAAUACAAAAUAGAAAGACAAUGUUCUGGGAAACUUUUAACAAUUAAAUUAACAUGUAUUUCAAGAAAAACACAAAUAAUUACCAGAAUAAACACAUUUUUAUUUUAUUUUUUUAAGAUCAUAUUAAAGACAGGUUUAUUGGGAAGCUGUUCUAGGGUGGCUGAGUUCACUGGCCCCAAGGACCAAAGCCAGGGAACUUGCCAUGGGGAAGGGGAGGCAGGUAGAAGAGGGAGAGAAAAAGAAGUGGGCAAUCGUGCAG